AAACCACCGCCAAAAAAGAAACCUCCAACGGAAGAAACCACCACCCUUGAUGAGGAAACUCUGACCACCUUGGAUGGCAGCAAGAAGCCACCACCGAAAAAGAAACCUCCAACGGAAGAAGCUGGAAUGCAUCAUUACGAUGUAAAGAUCAUAUCAGCAAACAUAGUAGUUGCAUUGUCUAUCUGGGGAAUAAAACAAAUAAAAGUGUAAUGAAAUAUCAAAGCUAGAGCAAAUCCAGUUACACUCACCAAAAAGAAUACACACAAGCAUGACUAUCUACCAUUCUCUCCGUAAUAAAAUUUCUCGACUUCUAUAAGGUCCCCAUGCAUCACGAUCUAUCAACCCAAUUAAAGAGCAUGCCACUCGUCGAGCGAUAUCUAAUCAUCUUAAUAUUUUCUAAACAGAAAAUAAUAUUAAUCUGCUUAACAUACCUGAAGCUAUGAUCGAGACUCCUGGCUUAAAUAUCAUGUACCAAUAAUAAAAUAUGAAGGGGAAGACCAAUAAAAUCGACCAAAACACAGAAGUCGGGACCAUAUAUUAAAAGGCACGAACAAAGACGCUUAUGGACGAAAGCAAGCAACCCCAUUUCAAACUAAAGAGCAACACCUAUGAAUCUUUUGUUUUUUUUUUUCCUUCACCUCGCAUUCUCACGUGACAUGGAUGGCCCCAAAACAGUAGGAAUACACAUUGGAUACGCAAUAUUUUUCUGUGGGUCAUCAGUGGACGGCUUUUACUGGGGCUCUAUGCGUUCGCGAAAACCGUCGGCAGACACUAACAUAACUACCACGGCCAUUGUCUCAUCGAAAAUUCGAGGGGUCGCCGCAUUUGGACAAACAUCAUGUGCUUCGCAUGACGAACUUUGCAGAGGCAAUCAUUGUUGCUGCCAAUCUGUGAUUCUCGAAAUCGCCAUUAGCCAUUUACUCUCUUUCUAGUGUCUUAUCUUUGCAAGUCCCUCCGCUCUGCUCUCCACGUACGUGGGAGAUUACACUCCACGAGCGUCGCAUCUAGAGAGCCGACAGUCCCUGCGACCAAGUAUUGCCGACCUCAUUUUUUAAAGUUAUCUAGUGAGCUUCAAUAGUUAACCAUUAUCAAGAGCAUUAUGUCGCUUGAGAAAUCUUCCGAAAUGCUGAGUGAGCGUAAGGCGUGACUCAUCGCUUGCAACAGUUGCUGUUUAAUCUUCGUGCAAAAGGUGAAAGGGUCGCUACUUUCACGAUGAGUCUGCGUUGGCUAAUCUUGGCAAUCGGCAAGGCAGUUUUACGAUGCAUUCUGCCCGAGGGAGAGGAGACGCGCACAACGCUUGGGGUGUGCCGAGGGCAUAGGUCGUCCUCGCCAAUCGCCAUGGUGGCUUAGGGCUUGGUAGCUCAAUUCGAGGUCCCUCUAUUUCAUGCAUUUUGGGAUGAAAAAUGUCCUUGUUGAAAGAGCGAAAAUAGUUCUAUUUCCUGCAAAAGUAUGUAAAGAUUCGUUGCACGAGCCUCUAAGCUAAGUAUGGAAAAUGGGUAAGUCUUAGGGGUGAGUAUGAUCCAUGUUGAGCUGGUCCAAUAUCUAACUUAGGGGUCAAUCUGCACGGUAUUAGUUCUCAAUUUUUUAGACCAAAGAUUAACCCUAUUGAGCCCAAGACCAAGGAAGUCUAAUCCAAUUCCAGCGGACCAAUAAAUUAUUUUUUGUUUUACUUUUGGUAUUCCUUAAAAAGACAAACGUACUAUUUCAAAUUACAUAUCCAUUAACAAUGUGACAUUAAACAAUAAAACUACAAACACCAAUACCUAUAAAACAUAAAUAUAAGAUCAAGUAAGAAUAGAAAUUUACAAAUGAACAUGCAAAAUGAGGCAAGAAAGGCAAGCAGUCGGGCAAAUGAAGAAAGGCAAGCGAGGCGAGCAAAGAGAUGCGAGUGAUUAGCAAGCGAGCAAGACCAAGGCAAGCAACUAAGGCCGAGGUGAGUUAAGUGGGUUUCUUUUUUUCUUUUUUCUUUUUUCCUUUCUUUUAGGUCAAAUUAAGGUUAUGUUUUUUUCUACUUUCUAAUUUACACGACAAACUAAAAUGCAAAGAAAACAAAAGAGGAGGCCUUAGAAUUUAGAGUAAACAAAAGCAUAUAAUAUUUAAUAUAUAUUACAUAUUAUGAUUCGAGCUAUACUAACCCUAAACUUUUAAGAUCUAAGAUGAACUCCUAUAAUAGAGGAUCCGGUGAUAUGAAAACCAAUGAUCAACCCGCUCGCCUUAGGAGAUAGAUUAGGAUCAAUCGGAUUAUCCCUACACUGGUGCUUGCCCCUAGUUAAUCACUUGCUUUUCCUUCGGCAUGGAAAAAUUGUUAUUUAAUCCGAAUAAGAUGGCUAUUUGGCAAUUAGAGAGAGAGAAUGAGAGGGUUGCGAUGUUCAUAGCCCACAACACGGCCUUGCUCUUUUUGUUUUUCGUAAAUCCAGAGCAUGAGUAAGGUGUUUUUGGAGAAUAUAGGGUUGGGGAUGGGACCCACGAGUCCUUCGUUUGUCCUUUUCCAUGGCGGUUUGCAGGUAAUUCGCGAAUGCUCCUGAUUGCCGCUUCCUCUCAUUUUUAUUUUUCUUUUUCUAAAAUCUUCUUAACUAACAGGUUGAUUUAUUUUGGAGCUUAAAUUAUAUUUUAAACUCUUACAAAAGAAACAUAAGCAUUUUUUUAGCAAGUCCUAAUAUACGAGCCUCGGUUGUUAAUCAGUGGAAGUUUUUAAAUUUCAUAUUCUAGUUAAACUUAGUUGUUUUGCUCCAUAAACUUAUUUAUGACACUCAAAUCUAAAUCUUAACAAAAUAUGUGCAUCAGGUGGAACAUGUAAUAAUAAUCUUCGAGAAACAAGUUAGUCAUAGAUAAGAGUUUAUAAAAUAAAAUAAAAUAAAGCAACAUUAAUUGAGUUACAAAUAAAGAUAAUAAUAUAAUUAGUCGGUUGUACUGCUCAAAAGUAUAGCUUUCUUCUCCAUCUCACAUUUGCCUUGCUCUUCCUAAGUGUCACAUUCUGAAAGUGUGAAAUAGGAACGAGUAUGAGAAUGAUGAAAAUAGUUUCACAAUCAUCUCGUAACUGCUAACGUCAGACUUAUAUAGAUAGGGGUUUCUUUGGCAUCUUUAUAUUGUCUUUGUUACUCCAUUCAUUAGGAAUCUCUGCUUCCAUUUUUUAUACAUAGUUGGCCCUUCUAUGCAUUGCUCUCAUGAUGACAGCUAAAGACUAAAGCCCUGAUCGACCAAGUUCGUCGACACUAACUUUCAAAGGUGGGAUCACUUUUAUACCGCUGGCUAAUGCAUACCUUCCUUGAGAUCAAACAUAUCCAGUUUACAUUUCACACUACACGAGGGAGAUCAAGAGCACGGUCCAGCUUACUUACCUGCCCCAAUUGCAACUUCCCCAAUCAACAUUAACCCCAAUUACAACUUCCCUAAUCAACACUAGCUAAGUCCAACUUUUCAUCUCAGUGCGUGGGACACCCUUCUCUUUUCAGUGUCCUUAUCUUGAAAUAAACCGCUAUGUGAAUGAAAAUAUUUCAAAAGGAAAUCAAGCGGCACGUGUCAAGACGAGAUAGGCCCAAUCCUUCUAUAAAUAACCUACCGACUCCACUUCUCACCAUGCAGAAACCUCAGAAAAUAUGUCUCCAAAAACCAUCUUUGUGCUUUUCCUGCUUACAGUGGUGCUCACCACUGCCACUCUUGCCGACCAUGGCAAACCUCACAAGAAACCACCACCGAAAAAGAAACCUCCAACGGAAGAAACCACCGCCCUUGAUGAGGAAACUCUGACCACCUUGGAUGGUGGCAAGAAGCCACCACCGAAAAAGAAACCUCCAAUGGAAGAAACCAUCGCCCUUGAUGAGGAUGGUGGCAAGAAGAAACCACCGCCGAAAAAGAAACCUCCAACAAAAACCACCACCCUCGAUGAGGAAACCCUGACCACCUUGGAUGGUGGCAAGAAGCCACCACCGAAAAAGAAACCUCCAACGGAAGAAACCACCGCCCUUGAUGAGGAUGGUGGCAAGAAGAAACCACCACCCAAAAAGAAACCUCCAACAGAAGAAACCACCACCCUCAAUGAGGAAACCCUGACCACUUUGGAUGGUGGCAAGAAGCCACCACCAAAAAAGAAACCUCCAACGGAAGAAACCACCACCCUUGACGACGAAACUCUGGCCACCUCAAAUGGUGGUAGGCCUUUCAUGAAGAAGCCACCACCGAAAAAGAAACCUCCCACGGACUAAACCUUGGCCGCCAUGGACGGUGGGCAUUGAGGACUCUGACAAGCCACCAACUGUCAAACCACCUCACAACCCACCAGCUUCUAAC
rnacentral:lncRNA from 1 species